UACGUAGGGGGCGAGCGUUGUCCGGAUUUCUUGGGCGUAAAGAGCGUGUAGGCGGUUCGGUAAGUCUGUCGUGAAAUCCUGAGGCUCAACCUCGGGCGUGCGAUGGAUACUGCCGGGCUAGAGGGUGGUAGAGGCGAGUGGAAUUCCCGGUGUAGCGGUGAAAUGCGCAGAUAUCGGGAGGAACACCAGUAGCGAAGGCGGCUCGCUGGGCCACACCUGACGCUGAGACGCGAAAGCUAGGGGAGCGAACAGG
rnacentral:rRNA from 1 species